GUUAUUUUUCCAUUUUAUCUCAUUGAUAAAAGUUCAUACAAAUCUUUGAAGUUAGAUCCAAAUCAAUGUCUUAAAAGCAUAAAUGAGAGGAAAAAAAACUUUCUACAUAACUAAAUAAAAAAGAAAAGAAGAUAAUGAUGCAAUUAGGGAUUUUUCUUUUUGUCAGGAAGAAUAUAGAAAAGAAAUUCAAUUAGAACUCGAAUUGCAUGUUGGGUGUGUAUCCAAUCGCAUUGAGAUGGGAAGCUAUGGCCUUGUUCAUUCCUGGUGGACCGCACCUCAGUAUCUGAAUGUCUGAAGCUGGAGGUGGACACUGUUUUUGAAUCAUUUCCUUCGAUAUGUAACCAACACCUCCAUUCCAUCCAUCAGGAGGCUGACUGACGACAUAGAAGACUUUGAACUGAUUGGGGAAUUUGGUGGCAAAGUCAUCUAAUUCGUCCUUCAAAAGAAUAUCAUCAUAUGUUGUAUUGGCAUACAUAAGAUUCACAUUGGUUUUAUCUUUUGUGUUAUUUAAUAUUGCUCUUGUAAUCUGAAAUAUUGGGGUAACGCCAGAUCCUCCAGCAAUCAUCCCAAAUGCUCGAACCUGAUUAGGUUUGUAUGAAAAGCGGCCCUUGGGUCCCCUUACGUCCAAAAAUUCACCUUCUUGCAUCUCCCUGAAAUGGUGAGACAUUCUACCCUUUGGAUACAUCUUUACAACAAGUUCAAAGUAACCAAUGUCACUAUCCAAAGUAAUUGGUGUAUAUGGUCUUAUUACUUCUUCACCUUCACUAUCCUUUCCCCUGCAAACGACAUGUUUUCCAACGGGCAGGCCCAACACUGAUGUGGGUGUAGGAAGGGCAAAUCUAAACUUGGCAACAUUGUGGCUGAGUGGUGUUUUUCUAAUUAGUUUGAAUUGCUUGAAUCUCUCAGGGUCUAAGCAGCCUCUGGGUGUUCUGGUGAAAAUAUAAUAAGCAACAGAAGCAAUGCAGACUGCACCGAUGGAAAUGGCAAAGGCUAGCAGCUCAGCUUGAGGUUUUGAUUUCAAAACCAUUUUGAUAAAGGCAGAGAUUAUAUCCAAUGGCAAUCUCCAUCUCAGACUAUGUAAGUCCAUUGUGACGAAU
rnacentral:misc_RNA from 1 species